rnacentral:rRNA from 1 species
UACGAAGGGGGCUAGCGUUGCUCGGAAUUACUGGGCGUAAAGGGCGCGUAGGCGGAUGUUUAAGUCGGGGGUGAAAUCCCGCGGCUCAACCGCGGUCGGUCGUUGGAAACUGCCUGGCUAGAGUCCGGAAGAGGAGAGUGGAAUUCCUGGUGUAGCGGUGGAAUGCGCAGAUAUCAGGAGGAACACCCGUGGCGAAGGCGGCUCUCUGGGACGGUACUGACGCUGAGACGCGAAAGCGUGGGGAGCGAACAGG